rnacentral:rRNA from 1 species
UUUGCUUCUCGUCGCUGCUUGGGUACUACGAGCAUGUGCUUAAAACUCAAAGAACUUGGCGGCUUGUUAACUACCUAGGGGAAUAUGUGCCUUAAUCCGAUAGUCCUCGACAUAUUUUACUGGGCCUUGAAAAACCAGUUGGUGUAUUGCCGUUGUCAGCUUGUUGUUGAGCAGAGAAAAACAGGCUAAAAGGAUUUGCCUGGGAGCAGGCGAAUUCCGUGAAUUCAGGUCGUAAUACUGCCUAUGGCUCUAGGGAGUGGGUGUUACAAUUUUUAAUUAGAAUACGAAUCUUUUUAUGAAAAAAAAGGUGAAGGUGAACUUAGGAGUAAGGGAAGAUUAAUAUGCUCCCCUGACCU